UACGUAGGGGGCAAGCGUUGUCCGGAAUCAUUGGGCGUAAAGAGCGUGUAGGCGGCCCGAUAAGUCCGCUGUGAAAGUCCAGGGCUCAACCCUGGAAUGCCGGUGGAUACUGUCGGGCUCGAAUCCGGAAGAGGUGAGUGGAAUUCCUGGUGUAGCGGUGAAAUGCGCAGAUAUCAGGAGGAACACCAAUGGCGAAGGCAGCUCACUGGGACGUAACUGACGCUGAGACGCGAAAGCGUGGGGAGCAAACAGG
rnacentral:rRNA from 1 species